GGUCAGAUAGCACAACGGUUAGUGCGCGGAUGCUUGAUCAAGGUUAAAGCAAUAUUCGAUCCGCUAACCUCGUUCGACUCGGGGUCUGGCCC